rnacentral:tRNA from 1 species
GGGGAUGUAGCUCAGUGGUAGAGCGCAUGCUUUGCAUGUAUGAGGCCCCGGCAUCUCCA